GCCGCCUUAGCUCAGUUGGUUAGAGCGCUGGAUUGUGGAUCCAGAGGUCGCUAGUUCAAACCUAGCAGGCGGUACCA
rnacentral:tRNA from 1 species